UUCAUAAAAUUCUAAUACAUAAAAUAUUUUUUUUUAGUAAUGGACCAUUUAAAUACACUUUGAAACAUGAGGACUAUUAAAAUAAUUAGUACAUUGGGGACCACAAUACUACAUUUUUAUAGUUGGAAACGCAAAAUUGUCAUUAAGCCUUUUUUUAAUACCCAUUUAUUCUGUUUUGUAUACCCCUUGAUUUUUUUUUUUACAUUUACUUACUUCCCGAAUUUUUAUAUAAUAAAAAUUAUUAUAAAAUGUUUAUAACCUCUUUAGUUUUUUUUCUUUAAUAUUCUUUCUUUGAUUCUUGUUUUUUUUUCUUUUUACUUUCACUUUUUAAAUUUUUUAUAUAAAAAAAUUAUGAAUAAAUUUAUAAAAAAUUUUUUUUACUCCCACCUUAUUGUUUUUUAAUAAAAAAAAAAAUUAUGAAAUCAAAAAUUGUAAUAUUUUUUUUAAAAUUUCGAUGGGUUGAAUAUUUAUAUAUUAUUCUAUGUGAGACUAUCCCUUAAAAAUUAAUAAUGUAUUUUUUAAUAGUUUGUCUUAUCAAAAAUUAUAAAACAAAAUAAUAACUUUUAAUAUGUAUCGAUACCGUAGUAAAUUCAAUAUUAAACAUAAGAACAUAAGUCUCAUCAAUAUCUCCUUCUCCUCCAAAAAAAUAUAUAUAUAUUUUUUUUUAUAUAAAAAGUCAGAAGUAAAGUAAAAAAAAAAGGAAUCAAGGGUAAUUAAAAAAAUACUCAAUACAUAUAACUAUCAACCCACUGAAUUUAAAAAAUAUUAAAAAGCCUUAUUCAUAUUUUUUUUUUUAUAAAAACAAAGGUGGGAGUAAAAAAAUUAUAAAAUUUUAUCAUAUUUUUUUUUUUAAUAAAAAUCCGGAGUAAAAGUAAAAAUAAAAACAAAAGAAUCAGGGGUAUUAAACGAAAAAGAAAUAAACGAGUUAUAAAAUUUGAUAAACAGAAAUUUUAUAUAAAACUUAAGAAGUGCAAGUAAAAAAAGAAUAAAAGGCUAUUAAAAAAGUAUAAAAGGGUUGAAUGUGAAAGUGAUGGGAGGCGAGAGCGUGCUAGUUUGAAUGGGCUCGAAGCACGAGGGACAGUGCUGGUAGGAGAGAGAGUGAUUGAUAUUUUUGGGCGAAAAAAAAAUAAUUUGUGUGAAAAUCCGAGCCGUUGGAUCCCACUCAAAUGGAUUUUAUAACCGUAGAUAGUGAGAGAUAGAUUUGAUUCAAAUGUAGUUGUGAUUUAUAAUAUAGAUAUAGUUGUUGGGGGGGGGAAAAAAAAUCUGUAUAGGUCUAGUAUGCUCAGUGCCAUUACUUUCAGCUUAUUCAUGCUACAAGUUUAAAGCCACACACAGCACACUCUGUCUUCCAUAGAUGAUCUUGUCAUUUUAUAGUUAUUCUAGAACUCACAGUUUCAUAGCCAUGCAAUAUCAAGCCCACACUUUGAGUGCAGUGAAAAAGAUCUUCUUAUUCUUAUUGUGUUUUUCUAAUCAGUGUGGGCUACCUCUAAUUAGAAAUUAUUGUUUUCAUAUCCUGUAAGGCGACGUUACUUAAACCCACCGUAUGCCUUAAAGAGAUCGUGUGACACAUAAAACUCAACAAGUUUUGAUAUUUCGAUUUGUAAAUUCUAUUUGUUUUAUUUUCUGUAUUUUAUAUUUCUAUUUUUUAGUAUUUAUAAUAUGUUCUGUUUCAAUAAAAGUUUUUUUUCUAGUUCUAUAUUACCCUUCGUAUAACAAAAUUUUGUCACUUUGCAACGAUACUGUUGCAGUUUGAGAGAGUGAGAUCGGUCGAGAGAGAGAUUGAAAGGGAGGCAUAUAUAUAUAUACACAUAUCUGUUCUACGUAUAAUAUUGCGGCAAAUUAUGAGUUUGGUUCAUGUAAGGGAUAAAUUAUACAAUUAUAAAUUCUGGCCUUGCUAGGGUGGGCACCGUUAUUGAGCUAUCACUAUGAAGCAAGUUCGGUGACCUCCUGCGCCGGAUCUCGGUCGAGACACUAUCGAACACAGGUAUUGUCCAAGCUAAGGGCACCAUUACUCCUGAGUUGUCGCUAUUUAGUAAGGUUACUGGAGUAACUGCACCAGAAUUUGGACGAAGGGCAAUGGUCGGCGGAAAUCCCAAAGCAUGUCAAAUGAUAGAAGGUAACUGGCACAACGAAACUUCUUUUGAUAGCCCACAUGCCCAGGACAAGACGUCGAUGACAAGCUACCAGCUAGGCUCUAGGAGCGUGGCUGGAUCAGCCGCCUACUCACUGACACAACAAUCGGCGCGUACGAAGACGCACCGAGCUGCAGUCUAUCUAGUGAAAAGACAGCUAGCGCAUCAAGACACACGUUGAGUUGUGCCAUAUAAAUUCACCAUUUAUUUUUCUAAAAGGUACACAAACUUUGGGCUGAGAAAGACACACACUCUUUCUAGCUCUCUACAUACACUUUUCAGUCAUUUACUUGACCGUCGGAGACCCGUUUUUCAAAAAUAGCUUCGGCGGCCGUCUUACUAUUUCUGUGUCGCAAUUAGGCACAUAC
rnacentral:lncRNA from 1 species